rnacentral:rRNA from 1 species
CGACCUACGGGGCGCAGCAGUGGGGAAUAUUGCACAAUGGGGGAAACCCUGAUGCAGCGACGCCGCGUGAGUGAGGAAGUAUUUCGGUAUGUAAAGCUCUAUCAGCAGGGAAGAAAAUGACGGUACCUGACUAAGAAGCCCCGGCUAACUACGUGCCAGCAGCCGCGGUAAUACGUAGGGGGCAAGCGCUAUCCGGCUUUACUGGGUGUAAAGGGAGCGUAGACGGAAUAGCAAGUCUGGUGUGAAAACCCGGGGCUCAAAUCCGGGAGUGCAUUGGAAAC